UACGUAGGGUGCGAGCGUUGUCCGGAAUUAUUGGGCGUAAAGGGCUCGUAGGCGGUCUGUUACGUCGGGAGUGAAAACUCGGGGCUUAACCCCGAGCCUGCAGUGGAUACGGGCAGACUAGAGGUAGGUAGGGGAGAAUGGAAUUCCCGGUGUAGCGGUGAAAUGCGCAGAUAUCGGGAGGAACACCGGUGGCGAAGGCGGUUCUCUGGGCCUUACCUGACGCUGAGGAGCGAAAGCGUGGGGAGCGAACAGG
rnacentral:rRNA from 1 species